rnacentral:rRNA from 1 species
AGCAGCCGCGGUAAUUCCAGCUCCAAUAGCGUAUAUUAAAGUUGUUGCAGUUAAAAAGCUCGUAGUUGAAUUUCGGGAUCAAUUAAUUGGUCGUGCCUCUGGUACGUACUGAUUUUAUUGGUUUCUCCCUUCUGACGAACCAUGAUGUCAUUAAUUUGGUGUCGUGGAGAAUCAGGACUGUUACUUUGAAAAAAUUAGAGUGUUUAAAGCAAGCUAACGCUUGAAUACAUUAGCAUGGAAUAAUGAAAUAGGACGUUUGAUCCUAUUUUGUUGGUUUCUAGGAUCGACGUAAUGAUUAAUAGGGAUAGUUGGGGGCAUUAGUAUUCAAUUAUCAGAGGUGAAAUUCUUGGAUUUAUUGAAGACUAACUACUGCGAAAGCAUUUGCCAAGGAUGUUUUCAUUAAUCAAGAACGAAAGUUAGGGGAUCGAAGACGAUCAGAUACCGUCGUAGUCUUAACCAUAAACUAUGCCGACUAGGGAUCGGGAUGAUGUUAAUUUUUUAAUGACUCA